UCAGGCGUGGUGUAAGGAAACACGACCCCCUGCUUCUGUACUUCAUCAAUGGGUAGCCUCGGGUUCUACUCCCGGCGUCUGAG